rnacentral:tRNA from 1 species
GGAGGUGUGGCCGAGCGGUUUAAGGCAGCAGUCUUGAAAACUGCCGACUGUAACAGGUCCGUGAGUUCGAAUCUCACCGCCUCCGCCA